rnacentral:rRNA from 3 species
AAACUUUCAACAACGGAUCUCUUGGUUCUGGCAUCGAUGAAAAACGCAGCGAAAUGCGAUAAGUAAUGUGAAUUGCAAAAUUCAGUGAAUCAUCGAAUCUUUGAACGCACAUUGCGCCCGCCAGUAUUCUGGCGGGCAUGCCUGUUCGAGCGUCAUUU